ensembl:ncRNA Y40C5A.19 ncRNA
AAUAUUAAUAACCAACUUAUUUCCAUAAACUUACCAUUUGAGGUUUUCAAAUCGUUAGAGCCCAACCAAAUAUUAGGAGAAGUUGGAGGCUUUGCUGUAAUGACCAUAGGAGGAUCUCCGAACGACUUCGAGAUGAAACGAGCACGGUUAACAGAAGAUGCACCCAUCACGAAUACUAAGUUAAUUGUGUUAGAGUAUUAUUCAACCAAAAA